GUACACUCCUGCGGGAGGCAGCAGUGGGGAAUAUUGGACAAUGGGCGCAAGCCUGAUCCAGACAUGCCGCGUGAGUAAUGAAGGCCCUAGGGUUGUAAAGCUCUUUCACCGGUGAAGAUAAUGACGGUAACCGGAGAAGAAGCCCCGGCUAACUUCGUGCCAGCAGCCGCGGUAAUAAGAAGGGGGCUAGCGUUGUUCGGAUUUACUGGGCGUAAAGCGCACGUAGGCGGACUAUUAAGUCAGAGGUGAAAUCCCGGGGCUCAACCCCGGAACUGCCUUUGAUACUGUUAGUCUUGAGUUCGAGAGAGGUGAGUGGAAUUCCGAGUGUAGAGGUGAAAUUCGUAGAUAUUCGGAGGAACACCAGUGGCGAAGGCGGCUCACUGGCUCGAUACUGACGCUGAGGUGCGAAAGCGUGGGGAGCAAACAGGAUUAGAAACCCUUGUAGUCCC
rnacentral:rRNA from 1 species